UACGGGGGGAGCAAGCGUUGUUCGGAUUUACUGGGCGUAAAGGGCGCGUAGGCGGCGCAACAAGUCAGUUGUGAAAUCUCUGGGCUUAACCCAGAGCGGUCAACUGAUACUGUCGUGCUAGAGUGCGGAAGGGGCAACUGGAAUUCCCGGUGUAGCGGUGAAAUGCGCAGAUAUCGGGAGGAACACCGGUGGCGAAGGCGGUUCUCUGGGCCUUACCUGACGCUGAGGAGCGAAAGCGUGGGGAGCGAACAGG
rnacentral:rRNA from 1 species